rnacentral:rRNA from 1 species
UGGUUCCGCGCCGACAAUGUAGCGGGGCUCAAGCACACCACCGAAGACGCGGCAGCAAUCUUCAUGGUUGCUGGGUAGGAGAGCGUCCUGCGAGGGGCGAAGCGGCCGGGUAACCGUGCCGUGGACUUCGUGGGAGUGAGAAUGCAGACAUGAGUAGCGAGAGACGGGUGAGGAUCCCGUCCGCUGGAUGACCAAGGGUUCCGGGGCCACGUUCGUCGUCCCCGGGUGAGUCGGGUCCUAAGGCGAGGCCGACAGGCGUAGUCGAAUGGAUGAACGGGUGGAUAUUCCCGUACCGACCAUGGACCGGCAAAACCGAGACGGUGAGUACUAACCUCCGCCUCGUGGUGGUUCCUUCCUUCGGGUUGGUAUCGCCGCGUGGUGUUGGGACUGUAGCCGCAGUAGGUCAGCGCAGGGGUGACACGGAAUGGGAGCCGGCCGCGGAGGUGGUUUUCCGUGGUCAAGCACGCAGCCAGUCAUGUAGGCAAAUCCGCAUGGCGCGCAUGGCGAGGUGUGAUGAUGGGAGCCGUUAUGGCUCGAUAUCCGGUUGUCCAGGCCGUCGAGAAAAGCCUCGGCGUGAGGGCCAUGGCCGCCCGUACCCCAAACCGACACUGGUGGUCAGGUAGAGAAUACCAAGGCGAUCGAGCGAAUCCUGGUCAAGGAACUCGGCAAAUCACUCCCGUGCCUUCGGUAUAAGGGAGACCCACUGGGGUGAAGGACCUUGCGUCCGGAGCUUUGGUGGGUGGCACAGACCAGGGGGUAGCGACUGUUUACCAAAAACACAGGUGCAUGCGAAGGCGAAAGCCGCUGUAUAUGCACUGACGCCUGCCCGGUGCCGGAAGGUUAAGAGGAUCCGUCAAUCCCUUCGGGAUGAAGCGGUGAAUUCAAGCCCCGGUAAACGGCGGUGGUAACUAUAACCAUCCUAAGGUAGCGAAAUUCCUUGUCGGGUAAGUUCCGACCUGCACGAAUGGCGUAACGACUUCCCCACUGUCUCGACCAGGAGCUCGGCGAAAUUGCAGUACGAGUAAAGAUGCUCGUUAAGCGCAGAAGGACGAAAAGACCCCGGGACCUUUACUAUACCUUGGUAUUGGCGUUAGGCGCGGAUUGUGUAGCAUAGGCGGGAGGCUUCGAAGCGGGUGCGCCAGCAUUCGUGGAGCCGCAAGGUGAAAUACCGCUCUGUUCUCGUUUGACGUCUAACCUCGACAAGUCAUCCUUGUCAGGGACAGUGCCUGGCGGGUAGUUCAACUGGGGCGGUUGCCUCCCAAAGAGUAACGGAGGCGCUCAAAGGUCCGCUCAGCCCGGUUGGCAAUCGGGUGUCGAGUGUAAUCGCACAAGCGGGCUUGACUGCGAGGACGACGGUCCGAGCAGGGACGAAAGUCGGAGAUAGUGAUCCGGUGCCGGCGCACGGGCGCGGCAUCGCUCAACGGAUAAAAGGUACCCCGGGGAUAACAGGCUGAUCAUUCCCAAGAGUCCAUAUCGACGGGAUGGUUUGGCACCUCGAUGUCGGCUCGUCGCAUCCUGGGGCUGGAGCAGGUCCCAAGGGUUCGGCUGUUCGCCGAUUAAAGCGGCACGCGAGCUGGGUUCAGAACGUCGUGAGACAGUUUGGUCUCUAUCCUCUGCGCUCGUUGGAAUCCUGAGGAGGCCUGCCCAUAGUACGAGAGGACCUGGGUGGACGAACCUCUGGUAUGCCGGUUGUCGCGCCAGCGGCACGGCCGGUUGGCUACGUUCGGGAGGGAUAACCGCUGAAAGCAUCUAAGCGGGAAGCCUGCUCCAAGAUUAGGAUUCCAUGGAUCUUCGAGAUCCUGUAGCCCGCAUGUUGAACACGUGUUUGAUAGGCCGGAGGUGGAAGCCCCGUGAGGGGUGGAGCCGACCGGUACUAACGGGCGACGGCGACAUAA